GAAUAAUGAUUUAUACAUAUUUUGGGAUUUGUUUUUCAAUGGAUUUUGGAUAUUUUUACUUGUGAAAUUGACCGACUGUUCCUGAUGGAUCCUGUCAUACCGCCAUGAUGCUGAACACUUUUAAUUGUUUUUGAAAAUUUAUAUCUGGACGUUUAUUAAUACCAACAUUUAAAUUGAUUUUUUUGGAAGGAAGAAAGACCAUGUCCGUCUUGUAAUACGUACUGUCUUCUGAUUUGUGAUGAAUGUCACUACGCUGUAUUCCCGUUUUAAACCUGAAGCACGUGAGAUUUAUCUCAUGGUCAUGAUCAUGCAUUUUUUCUGUAACAUUCGUUUGGCCUGCUUAUACAUUUAUUAUAUGCUAUUUUCAUUUGACAUUAUUCAAUUUGUAUCGGUGAUAACUGUAUCGCCAUCCAUACUCAAGUUCCGAUUUCACCAGAAGAGCCAAUUUUACUGUUUAUUGAUGUUGACCCAGAUUAACCCGUUGAACUACACGUGUGAUGUGUAAUGCGUAAUGUUGACUGUAUUGCUGUUGUGUCCAUUCCGCCGUAACCUACAUUAACUGUUAUAAAACGUAAUUAGAUUUACUGCAUUUUGGUGAUAACUGUAUCGCCAUGGUUUUAAAGAGUUCCAAGAAGACAUAUUUUAAAGAAACCCUGAUGAAUUUAUUCUGUACAAGAACAUUUUAUCUUUAACUAUAUAUGUUGAUUUUAUGAAUCCAGAUACUUUUCAUGUUAAUUUUGAUCUAC
rnacentral:lncRNA from 1 species